rnacentral:rRNA from 1 species
UACGUAGGGUGCAAGCGUUGUCCGGAAUUAUUGGGCGUAAAGAGCUCGUAGGCGGUUUGUCGCGUCUGCUGUGAAAGUUCGGGGCUCAACCCCGGAUCUGCAGUGGGUACGGGCAGACUAGAGUGCGGUAGAGGAGACUUGAAUUCCUGGUGUAGCGGUGGAAUGCGCUGAUAUCAGGAGGAACACCAGUGGCGAAGGUGGGUCUAUGGGCCGCAACUGAUACUGAGGAGCGAAAGCGUGGGGAGCGAUCAUG